UUAAAUAUUAUGAAAAAAAAAAUAGAAAAUCAAUGUGUUAUUCAUUUUAUUCGUGCUUUGAUUUAAUGUGUAUGCUGUUUUUAAUGUAAAGCACUUUGGGUUUAUGUGUAAUGAAAGGUGCUAUACAAAUAAAAUUGACAUUGACAUAUAUUUCAAAUAAUGACAUAGUACCAGCAAAUGGGGUUUAUUUGGACUAAACCUGGGAAUUCGCUCAGACUAUUGGGCAGUUUGAACUGUAUUUUCACCCCAAGUUAUUUAUAUUUUAAAACUUAAAAUGUCUCUUUUUAAAGUUUGGUUUUUCAAUGCCAUUCAUAAGUUUGUUUGUUUUUUAAAUAAUUUUGGACAACAAUGAAGCUCUAUGUGGCGCACAUAUACUUUGAGGUUUAUGCCUCGACGCAGAGGUCCAGGGUUCGAGUCCGACCUGAGACGAUUUCCUGCAUGUCUUCCCCCUCUCUUUCCCAUUUCUCACCUAAGCUGUCCUAUUAAUUAAAGGCGGAAAAGCCCAAAAAAUAAUCUU